GAUGAACGCUAGCUACAGGCUUAACACAUGCAAGUCGAGGGGAAACGGCAUCGAAAGCUUGCUUUUGAUGGGCGUCGACCGGCGCACGGGUGAGUAACGCGUAUCCAACCUGCCCAUCACUUGGGAAUAACCUUGCGAAAGUAAGACUAAUGCCCAAUGACAUCCCACGAAGGCAUCCGAAUGGGAUUAAAGAUUUAUCGGUGAUGGAUGGGGAUGCGUCUGAUUAGCUUGUUGGCGGGGUGACGGCCCACCAAGGCAACGAUCAGUAGGGGUUCUGAGAGGAAGGUUCCCCACAUUGGAACUGAGACACGGUCCAAACUCCUACGGGAGGCAGCAGUGAGGAAUAUUGGUCAAUGGGCGAGAGCCUGAACCAGCCAAGUAGCGUGCAGGAUGACGGCCCUAUGGGUUGUAAACUGCUUUUAUAAGGGAAUAAAGUGGGUCACGUGUGACUUUUUGCAUGUACCUGAUGAAUAAGGACCGGCUAAUUCCGUG
rnacentral:rRNA from 1 species